AGCAGCCGCGGUAAUUCCAGCUCCAAUAGCGUAUAUUAAAGUUGUUGCAGUUAAAAAGCCCGUAGUUGAAUUUCGGGAUCAAUAUGUCGGUCGCGCCAUCGGUACGUACUGGUAUCAUUGGUUUCUCCUUUCUGACGAACCAUGAUGUCAUUAAUUUGGUGUUAUGGGGAGUUAGGACUGUUACUUUGAAAAAUUGAGUGUUUAAAGCAGGCUUUAGCUUGAAUACAUUAGCAUGGAAUAAUGAAAUAGGACGUUCGAACCUAUUUUGUUGGUUUCUAGGAUCAACGUAAUGAUUAAUAGGGAUAGUUGGGGGCAUUAGUAUUCAAUUGUCAGAGGUGAAAUUCUUGGAUUUAUUGAAGACUAACUACUGACGAAAGCAUUUGCCAAGGAUGUUUUCAUUAAUCAAGAACGAAAGUUAGGGGAUCGAAGACGAUCA
rnacentral:rRNA from 1 species